UACCUGGUUGAUCCUGCCAGUAGUCAUAUGCUUGUCUCAAAGAUUAAGCCAUGCAAGUCUAAGUACGAGCUCUCGUACAGUGAAACUGCGAAUGGCUCAUUAAAUCAGUUAUGGUUCAUUUGAUCGUACAGUUUACUUGGAUAACUGUGGUAAUUCUAGAGCUAAUACAUGCGAGAAGCGCCGACCUCGCGGGAGGCGUGCAUUUAUCAGACCAAAAACCGGCCGCGUCUUCGGGCGCGUUCGCCUUGGUGACUCUGGAUAACUUUGCGGAUCGCACGGUCUAGCACCGGCGACGGAUCAUUCAAGUGUCUGCGCUAUC
rnacentral:ncRNA from 1 species